rnacentral:rRNA from 2 species
UAGCUUGACACUGAACAUUGAGCCUUGAUGUGUAGGAUAGGUGGGAGGCUUUGAAGUGUGGACGCCAGUCUGCAUGGAGCCGACCUUGAAAUACCACCCUUUAAUGUUUGAUGUUCUAACGUGGACCCGUGAUCCGGGUUGCGGACAGUGUCUGGUGGGUAGUUUGACUGGGGCGGUCUCCUCCUAAAGAGUAACGGAGGAGCACGAAGGUUGGCUAAUCCUGGUCGGACAUCAGGAGGUUAGUGCAAUGGCAUAAGCCAGCUUGACUGCGAGCGUGACGGCGCGAGCAGGUGCGAAAGCAGGUCAUAGUGAUCCGGUGGUUCUGAAUGGAAGGGCCAUCGCUCAACGGAUAAAAGGUACUCCGGGGAUAACAGGCUGAUACCGCCCAAGAGUUCAUAUCGACGGCGGUGUUUGGCACCUCGAUGUCGGCUCAUCACAUCCUGGGGCUGAAGUAGGUCCCAAGGGUAUGGCUGUUCGCCAUUUAAAGUGGUACGCGAGCUGGGUUUAGAACGUCGUGAGACAGUUCGGUCCCUAUCUGCCGUGGGCGCUGGAGAACUGAGGGGGGCUGCUCCUAGUACGAGAGGACCGGAGUGGACGCAUCACUGGUGUUCGGGUUGUCAUGCCAAUGGCACUGCCCGGUAGCUAAAUGCGGAAGAGAUAAGUGCUGAAAGCAUCUAAGCACGAAACUUGCCCCGAGAUGAGUUCUCCCUGAGACUUAGAGUCUCCUGAAGGAACGUUGAAGACGACGACGUUGAUAGGCCGGGUGUGUAAGCGCAGCGAUGCGUUGAGCUAACCGGUACUAAUGAACCGUGAGGCUUAACCUUACAACGCCGAAG